CCUGGCCUCCAUCUUGAAAACGGAAAAUAAAAACAGCAGACCUAUGAAGGUCGAAGGGGAAGAAAAGCUGUAUCGAUUGUUGAGAUCUGGCGACUUGUUUAAAUUUCAUCAGCCUCACUUCUAUGAACUCUCAGGCCUCACGUGUACCAGCUCUCUGCUCUCCUUUGCCUUGGGACGUUCCAUCCCUGGAAGUUUCCCUGCCCACAUCUUUGUAGAGAGUCCAUUCUCCAAGCUUCAGUGUGUCAUCUGUGAGGACCGUGACCCACCUGGUACAUCGCCUCAGGGCAUUCAUUUCAGGCUCCUUCUAAAUGGCCAAGGGUCUUCCUCUGCCACCCAGGCUGGAGUGUGCAGCAGCAUGACCGUGGCUUACUGCAGCUUCAACCUCUCAGGAUUAGGUAAACCUCAGGUUCUCCUCCUGCCUUUUGCUAAGUAUAUGUCUUGAUGACAAGCCUUCUGCUGAUGAGCUGUGUUUCUGGACCGAUCAUGGUAGAAGUCAAUUAACGUGUCCCUCACUUGGGGUUUCUCAAGGCUGCACUGAUGAGGAAACUGAAACAGAAAAUCCAGAGUAAAUUCCACCAGGCCACACAGCAAGGUCUGAUAGAGCCAGGAGAGACUUUAUGAAAUCCAGACUCUCACACUAAUGCUCUAUCAGCUAGACCUCCAUGUGAGUCUCCCCAAUGUAGGUAGGAAGUGCUUUCCCUAAAAUGCUCAUAAAGCAAAUCAGAGCAAUGCUGCAUUCCAUGUGAUUUCUAAUUUGAAAUGCAAACAAUUGCCAAUUUGUUUGACUUGUAUUUAUAAUUAUUUCCUUGUGAAUUACUCAUCACUAAAUGCUUUAUAAAUAUUUUCUCUUUUUUUCCUCAAUGUCUAUGGAAUGAUCACAGCAUAGAAAAUGUUGGCUUUCAAGGAUUUAUUAAUAUCUCCUUUUGAAAUAACAUGUAUUUGUAAGACAGAAUAAAAUCACUUUAAAGAAACAAA
rnacentral:lncRNA from 1 species